AGGCAGCAGUUAGGAAUCUUCCGCAAUGGGCGAAAGCCUGACGGAGCGACGCCGCGUGAGCGAAGAAGGCCUUCGGGACGUAAAGCUCUGUUGUGAGGGACGAAGGAGCGCCGUUCGAAGAGGGCGGCGCGGUGACGGUACCUCACGAGGAAGCCCCGGCUAACUACGUGCCAGCAGCUGCGGUAAUACGUAGGGGGCGAGCGUUGUCCGGAAUUAUUGGGCGUAAAGCGCGCGCAGGCGGUCUCUUAAGUCUGAUGUGAAAGCCCACGGCUCAACCGUGGAGGGUCAUUGGAAACUGGGGGACUUGAGUGCAGGAGAGGAGAGCGGAAUUCCACGUGUAGCGGUGAAAUGCGUAGAGAUGUGGAGGAACACCAGUGGCGAAGGCGGCUCUCUGGCCUGCAACUGACGCUGAGGCGCGAAAGCGUGGGGAGCAAACAGGAUUAGAUACCCUGGUAGUCC
rnacentral:rRNA from 1 species